GAUGAACGCUAGCUACAGGCUUAACACAUGCAAGUCGAGGGACCGGCGCACGGGUGAGUAACGCGUAUCCAACCUUCCCAUUACUGUGGGAUAACCUGCCGAAAGGCAGACUAAUACCGCAUGGUAAUGGAUGGGGAUGCGUCUGAUUAGCUUGUUGGGGGGGUACCGGCCCACAAAGGCGACGAUUAGUAGGGGUUCUGUGAGGAAGGUCCCCAACAGUGGAACGGAGACACGGUCCAAACUCCUACGGGAGGCAUCAGUGGGGAAUAGUGGUCAAUGGGCGAGAGCCUGAACCAGCCAAGCCGCGUGGGUGAAGAAGGCUUCGGGUUGUAAAGCACUUUCAGCGUGGAGCGUUACCCGCAGAAGAAGCACCGGCUAACUCCGUGCCAGCAGCCGCGGUAAUUC
rnacentral:rRNA from 1 species